AUGGGCUCCAGCCUCUAUGCUUGCCUGACUCUUUGUCUCCUGGUGGCAGGUCCCGUGGACCCUAGAAUUAUCCAGAAACCAAAACAUCUGGUGACAGUCAUGGGGAGUGAAAGGACCCUGAUAUGUGAACAGUAUCAAGGACACAAUGCUAUGUACUGGUACAGACAAAGUGCUACGCAGUCCCUAGAGCUCAUGUUUUCAUAUAAUUACCAAAAACUAUUUGAAAACCAGACUCUCACAAAUCGCUUCCAACCUCACAAUCUAGAGAAAUCCUACCUAGACCUUCAGAUCACAGCCCUGCAGCCUGAUGACUCGGCCACAUACUUCUGUGCUAGCAGCCAAGACACAGUCCUGCAGAGCUCCUGUCGCCCUGUACACAAACCUCCUCCGUCUUUCCAGGAAACUGCUGGCGUAACAGGUCCACCGAGCCCUAAGACUCGCUUCAGUAGCCCAGGAGGACUCAAGCAGGAACCACAGACCACAACAGCACCUGCUAAAUGA